GGAUCCCUGGCGCCGCCUGAGCCAGCGGCUGCUAGGAGGCUGUGUCCGCAAGCCAGCGGGGCGAGGCGGCUGGGCCCUGCGCGUCAGGUCCCGGCCUGGGGCACCGGGGCUGCCAGCGUCGGAGGAGGCCUGAGAACUGGGAGGAAGCUGGAGAAAAGAUGCCCUCUGAAUCUUUGUGUUUGGCUGCCCAGGCUCGCCUUGACACCGAAUGGUUGAAAACAGAUAUACAGAUGAUAGUGUCGAACCAAGUGGAACAAAGAAAGAAGAUCUGAAUGACAAAGAGAAAAAAGAUGAAGACGAAACUCCUGCACCUGUAUAUAGGGCCAAGUCAAUUCUGGAGACCUGGGUGUGGGUCAAGCAACCAGGAAACGGAAGCCCAAAGAGGAGGGGAGCUUACAGCAGGCCCUGGACUAGGGAUUAACACAAAAACAACAGCAACAAAUCUGAUUUAAGCUUCACACAUUAGAGACGAGAUUUCACCAUGUUGGCCAGGCUGGUUUUGAACUCCAGACCUUGUGAUCCGCCCGCCUCUGCCUCCCAAAGUGCUAGGAUUAGAGGCGUGAGCCACCGCGCCUGGCCUGCAAUUUUCAUCUUUUGGCUGCAAAUAAGUUAUGUCACUAUUCUCAGCUGGGGGAGUGUUUAACUCACAUGUUGCUUCCUCUCUGUUAGACAGGUUUUAAGAUUUAUGAAUAGGUACUGAAUUGUAUCAAUUGCUUUUUUCUUUCUUGAUUGAGCAAUGUUUUUUCUUAUCUUUUUAUGUUGAUAAGGUAACUUAACAGUGAUUGGCUUUUGAAUGUUGAACAUUGCAUUUCUGGAAUUAAAUCAACUUUGUUGUGAUAAAUGAUUAAUACCAUAUUAUGUAUGGUUGAGAUGGGCUUGCUCCUAGUUCAUUUGGUAGUUUUGUACUUAUGUUCACAAGAGAAAGUGGAGUCUAAUUUUUUUUUUUCUGGUGAUUUUUGUUCGUUUGUUUGUUUGUUUGUUUGUUUGUUUUUGCCAUGGAGUCUGGCUCUGUUAUCCAGGCUGGAAUGCAGUGGCGUGAUCUCAACUCAUUGCAAGCUCCACCUUCUGGGUUCAUGCCAUUCUCCUGCUUCAGCCUCCUGAGUAGCUGGGACUACAGGCGCCCAACACCACACCUGGCUAAUUUAUUGUAUUUUUUAGUAGAGACGGGGUUUCACCUUGUUAGCCAGGAUGGUCUCGAUCUCCUGACCUCGUGAUCCACCCGCCUCGGCCUCCCAAAGUGCUGGGAUUACAGGCUUGAGCCACCACGCCCAGACUUGUGAGGUUUUAAUAUGAAGUAUUAAAGCUAUGCUGGUUAGACAAUUUGGAAAAUGUUUCUUCUCCUAUUUCUGACAGAGUUUAUGUAAGAUGUGUGCUAUUUCUUCCUUAAGCAUUUGGAAAGAAUUCACUUAUUAAGCCAUGUGAGACUGUAGUUUUCUUUAUAAGGUGUUUAACUACAGGUUCAAUUACAUAUAUAUAAAUAUUCAUUUUGGUAACCUGUGUUUGCUGAAUCAAUUUGUUCAUUUUAUCGAAAAUUUCAAAGUUAUUCUAUUAUUCAUUUAUCUUUUUAAUACUUAUAAAGUCUCCGGUUAGAGUUUGUGCCUUUUGUCUGUUUUGUUAAUCAAUCUUGCUGGAGGCCAUCAAUUUUAUUAGUGUUUCAAAAAAGCAAACUUUGAUUUUAUUCAUCCCUUUACCAUACUGAAAAUGUUUUGCUUAAUUUCCAAACUUAUAGUUCCACUGUGAUUAAAUAUUUGUAUAACUAAAACUCUGUGGAAUUUGUGUCUUCUCAAUGAUUGAAAAUAUGAUUAAUUUUUAUAAAUAUUGCUUCUGCACUUGAAAAGGAUAUGUAUUCUGCAUGUUGAGCGUAGUGUACCACGUAUCUCAGUUAGGUCCAGUGUGUUAAAUGCAUCCUUUAAAGAUUCUAUGUGCUUACUGAUGUUUGUUUAUUUUUCAGUGGCUGAGACACAGAUAUUAAAGUUUCCCACAAUGAUC
rnacentral:lncRNA from 1 species